CAGAAAAUAGUUUAUAUUAAAAAUAUUAAUUUUGGAGAUUAAUGAAAAAUUUAUUUAUUUUUUUCUGA
rnacentral:tRNA from 1 species